UACAGAGGUCUCAAGCGUUGUUCGGAUUCAUUGGGCGUAAAGGGUGCGUAGGCGGCGCGGUAAGUCGGGUGUGAAAUCUCGGAGCUUAACUCCGAAACUGCAUUCGAUACUGCCGUGCUUGAGGACUGGAGAGGAGAGUGGAAUUCCUGGUGUAGCGGUGAAAUGCGCAGAUAUCAGGAGGAACACCCGUGGCGAAAGCGGCUCUCUGGGACGGUACUGACGCUGAGACGCGAAAGCGUGGGGAGCGAACAGG
rnacentral:rRNA from 1 species